UUCUANUCNCGGGNCGCCGUUAACACNUGCAAGUCGAACGAUGAUGCCCAGCUUGCUGGGUGGAUUAGUGGCGAACGGGUGAGUAACACGUGAGUAACCUGCCCCUGACUCUGGGAUAAGCGUUGGAAACGACGUCUAAUACUGGAUAUGAUCACUGGCCGCAUGGUCUGGUGGUGGAAAGAUUUUUUGGUUGGGGAUGGACUCGCGGCCUAUCAGCUUGUUGGUGAGGUAAUGGCUCACCAAGGCGACGACGGGUAGCCGGCCUGAGAGGGUGACCGGCCACACUGGGACUGAGACACGGCCCAGACUCCUACGGGAGGCAGCAGUGGGGAAUAUUGCACAAUGGGCGAAAGCCUGAUGCAGCAACGCCGCGUGAGGGAUGACGGCCUUCGGGUUGUAAACCUCUUUUAGUAGGGAAGAAGCGAAAGUGACGGUACCUGCAGAAAAAGCACCGGCUAACUACGUGCCAGCAGCCGCGGUAAUACGUAGGGUGCAAGCGUUGUCCGGAAUUAUUGGGCGUAAAGAGCUCGUANGCGGUUUGUCGCGUCUGCUGUGAAAUCCCGAGGCUCAACCUCGGNCUUGCAUUGGUUACCGGCAGAC
rnacentral:rRNA from 2 species